rnacentral:rRNA from 1 species
AGAGAGAGACAUGCGCGCAUAUCAAUAAGCGGAGGAAAAGAAACUAACUAGGAUUCCCUCAGUAACGGCGAGUGAAGCGGGAAGAGCUCAAAUUUGAAAUCUUCAAGGUUUCCCUUGACGAAUUGUAGUUUAAAGAAGUGUUUUCUGUUGGAAUUUUGGUAAAAGUUCUUUGGAAAAAGACAUCAAAGAGGGUGAGAAUCCCGUAUUUGACCAUUAUUUCCAGCUUUGUGAUACACUUUCAAAGAGUCGGAUUGUUUGGGAAUGCAGUCCAAAAUGGGUGGUAAAUUUCAUCUAAAGCUAAAUAUUGGCGAGAGACCGAUAGCGAACAAGUACCGUGAGGGAAAGAUGAAAAGAACUUUGAAAAGAGAGUUAAACAGUACGUGAAAUUGUCAAAAGGGAAGCGUUUGACACCAGUGUUGUUUUUCCGAAAAUCAAUUAAGAAUGUUUUAUUUUUGAGGAGUUAUGACUUCAUCGGCUUGCUCCUUUCUUUAUGGAACUUUCUUAAUGCACUUUUCGGUUAACAAGUCAACAUCAAUUUCUUUUGUUGUAAAAGAGUAUGAGGAAGGUGGCUUUCUUUUCGGAGAAAGUGUUUAUAGCCUUGUACUUCUGCAAUCGGAGAGAUUGAGGUCUGCAGCGUAGAUCCUUCGGGGUUAGAUACACUUGUGCUAAGUUAUAGCUUUUCAUAGACAACUUGUUGAUUAUGAUUAGUCUUGUAGCUUACUCGCUUGUGCUAUUUUACCUACGCUUAGGAUGUUGACAGCAGUAUAGACUGU